AACAAUGUGGGCAUAUUAUAUAUAUAUUUUUAGAAUGAACUUAAAAAAUAAUAAACUCUAACUCCACUUUUGGCACUAAUUUCUUGAUUGCUAACAUGAUGCAUUUCUGCAAGAAGAGCUCAUUUCACAAUCUUUGAGGACAUUAUGUGUCUAAGACAAACCUGCAGGUGCUGUUGAGAACAGCAGAGCCAGCUGGAGGCUCUGGGAGGAAUUCCAUCUGGAAGAAAACAUGGUGUGUCCAGAGGGCAGAGUGGUGUGGUGGAGUCGGUGCUGGAGAUGAUGUGUGUACAAGAGCAGGACUCUGGACGGAGGCAGGGAUCUGGGCCAGCACAACAUGGAGAGGCUGAAGCUUCCUGGAGUGACCAGCAGGCAGGAGUAAGGGCCAGGUCCCUGAAAUCUAUGGAAGGAGAUUUUACUGGUGUGUCCACCUCCUCCUGGCCAGGCCACAGCUUUCUCAGCAGGAAAACACCUGAUACUUCCAGGUAUUUGGGAGCCGGCUGCAGGACAAACAGCAAAACUGCAGACCCUCACCGCCCCCACCCCGCCGGCCUCCUGGGGACUUACUGCGGGGGAGUAACAUGCGGUUGGUUGCAUGUCCAGCUGAGAGCACCUAGAGGCGACGAUGGCCCUGCUGGCGCUAAAUGUUUGCUCUUCCUGGCUUGGGAGGUACAGAUGCUGCUGCCCGAGCCUUUACCACAGCUUGAUUGUGCCAGGAAGGAAUCCUCCAAAAGUCACUGGAAACCUUGCUUCUGUCCGGGCCCCUCUCACUUCUUCUCCUGGUCCUGCCUCAGACCUGACGCUCCAUCUAGGACUUCUCUGGAGCUGCAGCCUGAAUUCAAGGCCGAGAACCUGACUGGUCCACGGACCCCUGAGCUCAGCACGUCAGAAUGA
rnacentral:lncRNA from 1 species